rnacentral:rRNA from 1 species
AGAAAGUGGCGCACGGGUGCGUAACGCGUAUGCAACCUACCUUCAUCUGGGGGAUAGCCCGGAGAAAUCCGGAUUAAUACCGCAUAAAAUCACAGCACGGCAUUGUGCAAUGAUCAAACAUUUAUGGGACAGAGAUGGGCAUGCGUGUCAUUAGCUAGUUGGCGGGGUAACGGCCCACCAAGGCGACGAUGACUAGGGGAUCUGAGAGGAUGGCCCCCCACACUGGUACUGAGACACGGACCAGACUCCUACGGGAGGCAGCAGUAAGGAAUAUUGGUCAAUGGAGGCAACUCUGAACCAGCCAUGCCGCGUGCAGGAAGACUGCCCUAUGGGUUGUAAACUGCUUUUAUCCGGGAAUAAACCACAUUACGUGUAAUGUGCUGAAUGUACCGGAAGAAUAAGGAUCGGCUAACUCCGUGCCAGCAGCCGCGGUAAUACGGAGGAUCCAAGCGUUAUCCGGAUUUAUUGGGUUUAAAGGGUGCGUAGGCGGCCUGUUAAGUCAGGGGUGAAAGACGGUAGCUCAACUAUCGCAGUGCCCUUGAUACUGACGGGCUUGAAUAGACUAGAGGUAGGCGGAAUGAGACAAGUAGCGGUGAAAUGCAUAGAUAUGUCUCAGAACACCGAUUGCGAAGGCAGCUUACUAUGGUCUUAUUGACGCUGAGGCACGAAAGCGUGGGGAUCAAACAGGAUUAGAUACCCUGGUAGUCCACGCCCUAAACGAUGAACACUCGCUGUUGGCGAUACACAGUCAGCGGCUAAGCGAAAGCGUUAAGUGUUCCACCUGGGGAGUACGGUCGCAAGAUUGAAACUCAAAGGAAUUGACGGGGGCCCGCACAAGCGGAGGAGCAUGUGGUUUAAUUCGAUGAUACGCGAGGAACCUUACCCGGGCUUGAAAGUUAGUGAAGGUAGCAGAGAUGCUACCGUCCGCAAGGACACGAAACUAGGUGCUGCAUGGCUGUCGUCAGCUCGUGCCGUGAGGUGUUGGGUUAAGUCCC